rnacentral:rRNA from 1 species
AAUGGGUCAGCGACUUAUAUUCUGUAGCAAGGUUAACCGAAUAGGGGAGCCGAAGGGAAACCGAGUCUUAACUGGGCGUUAAGUUGCAGGGUAUAGACCCGAAACCCGGUGAUCUAGCCAUGGGCAGGUUGAAGGUUGGGUAACACUAACUGGAGGACCGAACCGACUAAUGUUGAAAAAUUAGCGGAUGACUUGUGGCUGGGGGUGAAAGGCCAAUCAAACCGGGAGAUAGCUGGUUCUCCCCGAAAGCUAUUUAGGUAGCGCCUCGUGAAUUCAUCUCCGGGGGUAGAGCACUGUUUCGGCAAGGGGGUCAUCCCGACUUACCAACCCGAUGCAAACUGCGAAUACCGGAGAAUGUUAUCACGGGAGACACACGGCGGGUGCUAACGUCCGUCGUGAAGAGGGAAACAACCCAGACCGCCAGCUAAGGUCCCAAAGUCAUGGUUAAGUGGGAAACGAUGUGGGAAGGCCCAGACAGCCAGGAUGUUGGCUUAGAAGCAGCCAUCAUUUAAAGAAAGCGUAAUAGCUCACUGGUCGAGUCGGCCUGCGCGGAAGAUGUAACGGGGCUAAACCAUGCACCGAAGCUGCGGCAGCGACACUAUGUGUUGUUGGGUAGGGGAGCGUUCUGUAAGCCUGUGAAGGUGGCCUGUGAGGGUUGCUGGAGGUAUCAGAAGUGCGAAUGCUGACAUAAGUAACGAUAAAGCGGGUGAAAAGCCCGCUCGCCGGAAGACCAAGGGUUCCUGUCCAACGUUAAUCGGGGCAGGGUGAGUCGACCCCUAAGGCGAGGCCGAAAGGCGUAGUCGAUGGGAAACAGGUUAAUAUUCCUGUACUUGGUGUUACUGCGAAGGGGGGACGGAGAAGGCUAUGUUGGCCGGGCGACGGUUGUCCCGGUUUAAGCGUGUAGGCUGGUUUUCCAGGCAAAUCCGGAAAAUCAAGGCUGAGGCGUGAUGACGAGGCACUACGGUGCUGAAGCAACAAAUGCCCUGCUUCCAGGAAAAGCCUCUAAGCAUCAGGUAACAUCAAAUCGUACCCCAAACCGACACAGGUGGUCAGGUAGAGAAUACCAAGGCGCUUGAGAGAACUCGGGUGAAGGAACUAGGCAAAAUGGUGCCGUAACUUCGGGAGAAGGCACGCUGAUAUGUAGGUGAAGCGACUUGCUCGUGGAGCUGAAAUCAGUCGAAGAUACCAGCUGGCUGCAACUGUUUAUUAAAAACACAGCACUGUGCAAACACGAAAGUGGACGUAUACGGUGUGACGCCUGCCCGGUGCCGGAAGGUUAAUUGAUGGGGUUAGCGGUAACGCGAAGCUCUUGAUCGAAGCCCCGGUAAACGGCGGCCGUAACUAUAACGGUCCUAAGGUAGCGAAAUUCCUUGUCGGGUAAGUUCCGACCUGCACGAAUGGCGUAAUGAUGGCCAGGCUGUCUCCACCCGAGACUCAGUGAAAUUGAACUCGCUGUGAAGAUGCAGUGUACCCGCGGCAAGACGGAAAGACCCCGUGAACCUUUACUAUAGCUUGACACUGAACAUUGAGCCUUGAUGUGUAGGAUAGGUGGGAGGCUUUGAAGUGUGGACGCCAGUCUGCAUGGAGCCGACCUUGAAAUACCACCCUUUAAUGUUUGAUGUUCUAACGUUGGCCCCUGAUCGGGGUUGCGGACAGUGUCUGGUGGGUAGUUUGACUGGGGCGGUCUCCUCCUAAAGAGUAACGGAGGAGCACGAAGGUUGGCUAAUCCUGGUCGGACAUCAGGAGGUUAGUGCAAUGGCAUAAGCCAGCUUGACUGCGAGCGUGACGGCGCGAGCAGGUGCGAAAGCAGGUCAUAGUGAUCCGGUGGUUCUGAAUGGAAGGGCCAUCGCUCAACGGAUAAAAGGUACUCCGGGGAUAACAGGCUGAUACCGCCCAAGAGUUCAUAUCGACGGCGGUGUUUGGCACCUCGAUGUCGGCUCAUCACAUCCUGGGGCUGAAGUAGGUCCCAAGGGUAUGGCUGUUCGCCAUUUAAAGUGGUACGCGAGCUGGGUUUAGAACGUCGUGAGACAGUUCGGUCCCUAUCUGCCGUGGGCGCUGGAGAACUGAGGGGGGCUGCUCCUAGUACGAGAGGACCGGAGUGGACGCAUCACUGGUGUUCGGGUUGUCAUGCCAAUGGCACUGCCCGGUAGCUAAAUGCGGAAGAGAUAAGUGCUGAAAGCAUCUAAGCACGAAACUUGCC